CGGCCGGGCAGCCGCCCGCUCUGUCCUUGGGAGCCCCGGGCGCCCGGCAGGGACGUACCCAGUCUUUUCUGCCUUCUCCAGGCUGGUCUCUCCCUUCCUGGUAGACGCCCAGGGCCCGCCAUGGGAGCAGCAGCCCGCGAACGCGCCUUGCCCGUCGCCUCUGUCACGCCUGGGGCAGCCGCUCUGUCGUUGUAGCUGGAGGCUCGCCUGCCCCUUCGCCCUGGGGUGGGGUGUGCCUCCUGGUGCUGGGGCCAGGGACUGCUUUGGCGUCAGGGAUGUGCUUGUGAGAACAAGUUGACAACACAUUACAUCAGAAAAGGAGCGCGAAGAGAGACGCCAAACAUUUUAAACCAGUAAAACUGUUCCCUUUUUUUUUUCUUAAGUAAAACCAUCAGAAUUGCGGAAUUUCGAAGUAUUGAAAUGGAAGUAAUGGCCGGCGUUACUCCCUGCAGGAGCCAGGGACGAGUAGGGAGGUGGAGUGAGGUGGACGCUGGUCUGACUUGCGGGGGUUUCGGUGCUUCCCUGGGCGACUGGAUUCUGCGCUGGACACACGGGAGCUCCGCUGCGGUGUCGGGCACGUCACCCAGGCACACUUGGUUCAGUGUAGAACAAGGCACGUCUUUACAGGCGCCGCCUGAAGUAUCUGAAGUCAACUUUGUUGUUAAUUAGGUCGCUCUCGCGGGGAGCAGCCGGCAGAGGGAGAUGGGAUGCACCUAUCCUGGAGACUCCACUGAUGUUUCAAGAUCAGAAAAUGUAAGAAAAAUCCCAUCAUCAUAAUGCAGAACUAAAAAUGUGGUCAUGUUUAGUAGAUUAUGACCCAGAGUUAAGAAUGUGAACAGCAUUGCUGCAGAGAGGAAUUUUAAGUGAUGUAUGUGAAACUGCCAAAAUGAGAAUUGCAGCUGAAGGAAGUGAGCCAGCAGUCUAACUACAAUCAAUAUCCAGGUUAAGUAAACAAUUACAGUCUGACAGAGUUGGAAGAAAAUCCACGCAGCCUGACAGGGUGCCUGCAGUGUCUUCAGGAUGAGAGAGAGAAAUUGUGAAGAACAAGUUGACUCUACAAAGAUUUUCCCAUAAGAAUCAAGUCCACUAGAUGAAUUUAAAAUUUUGUCCUGGAAGCUUCAAGGGUCAUCCCAGUGUUUCCAGAUAAAUUUGGAGACAAAUAAAAUGAGGAACUGCGGAGCACAGCCUUAACCUGAGAAAGAAUAAAUCACAAGAUGUGGAAAAAAAGAAAGUUCCGU